UACAUGAAUACAGUGUUUAGUGUUUUACUUUAAUUGUGAAAAUACUUAAUCAACCUUAACAUGUAAGUGAAUUGAGAAACAGAAUGAGGUCACUGAAUAGAAGCCAUUUUCGGCCUGGCACACCCUGUCAUUUCACUGUCUUGCCUGUGUAAAACCGAGGGGGUAUAUUCCACCUUAGUGAAGGAGCCGGCUUUCUUGGUUAAUUGGAGAAGGCGGGGCUAUGCACGAAGAGUAGACCUCUUAAGAAGAGUUUUUAUUUGUUAUUUAUUCAAGCCACUCGCAUGCAAGAAUGAGUAGAUGACAUCUGAGUGUAGGCUACAAACGCGAUUAACUGUUUACAAGUGCAAAAACGCCAACAUAUUCUUUAUUUUGCUGACCACAUGUUUAUGACAAUUUAUCCACGCUUUCUCGUAGAUCGCACCAUCUUUCCCCCGUCUUCGUUAAAUGCGACUGCAUCAACUCUUCCUCAACAACCCCAUCCCCAGCAGAUGGGCGACGGGGCAAGUCACCAUGCUCGGGUCACGUGAUGAAAGCGAGGCUCAUCGAUUGGCUGCAGGGGAAUUCCAGGUCACCAUCCAUCGCUCAGCAACUCACUGGCAUUUAGCUCCAGGUGCAUGCUGGGUAUUUUCACAAUAGAUGGG
ensembl:lncRNA